GCAGCACAUGGGAGGAACAGCUAUGUGCCCAGCAGGAACAUCUGGAGAAGGAGAUGCAGGAGACCAGGAAAAUGAUGACUAGGCUUCAGGCCUUACUUGCUGCAUGGGUCACUACCUGAGGACGAGCAGACAUCUACUCUGAGCUUUGGAGAGAGUACCAGCUCAGAGCAACAGCUGAUUUUAAUCCGGAGUCGUCUGGACCAGAGUAUGGAGG